UGCUGCAGCCAUAUCACUCUGCAACUCACAACUGGCAACCCACUGAAGCUAAGCAGGUAUGAACUUGGUCAGUACUUGGAUGGAGACCUCCUGGGAAAAUCUAAGGUUGCUGCUGGAA
rnacentral:rRNA from 1 species